UUGGUGCCUUCGGGAACUACUGACACAGGUGCUGCAUGGCUGUCGUCAGCUCGUGUCGUGAGAUGUUGGGUUAAGUCCGUAACGAGCGCAACCCUUGUCCUUAGUUACCAGCACGUUAUGGUGGGCACUCUAAGGAGACUGCCGGUGACAAACCGGAGGAAGGUGGGGAUGACGCCAAGUCAUCAUGGCCCUUACGGCCUGGGCUACACACGUGCUACAAUGGUCGGUACAAAGGGUUGCCAAGCCGCGAGGUGGAGCUAAUCCCAUAAAACCGAUCGUAGUCCGGAUCGCAGUCUGCAACUCGACUGCGUGAAGUCGGAAUCGCUAGUAAUCGUGAAUCAGAAUGUCACGGUGAAUACGUUCCCGGGCCUU
rnacentral:rRNA from 1 species